rnacentral:rRNA from 1 species
UACAGAGGGUGCGAGCGUUGUCCGGAAUCACUGGGCGUAAAGGGCGCGUAGGUGGCACGACAAGUCAGUGGUGAAAGCUCGACGCUCAACGUCGAGUCGGCCACUGAUACUGUUGGGCUGGAGCACUGUAGAGGCAGAUGGAAUUCCGGGUGUAGCGGUGGAAUGCGUAGAGAUCAUGAGGAAGACCAGUGGCGAAGGCGGGUCUCUGGACAGUUCCUGACACUGAGGCACGAAGGCUAGGGGGAGCAAACGGG